GUGGGUGCAACUCAGUGGUAGAGUGCUUACCGAGUAUGUACAGGGCCCUGGGUUCAAACCCCAGCACUGAAA
rnacentral:tRNA from 1 species